UUCAGGCAGUGGCAAGCGUUUUUGUGGCUUUCCAAGUGAAAAAGGAAUACGUGACCAGUGGAUAAGGAAAGUCAAUCAACAGGGGAAGAAGCAUGGUCAGCUAUGGGUGCAUAGUAAGCAUUCCAAGCUCUGUGCUAAUCACUUCGAACUGGCGUGUUUUGAGAAAGCAUUGGAUACAGAGGUAGAGGCUGAAAUCAGCUGUGGUGCCAACUAUUUUUCCUACGGCCAUCGGGACCUCAACUGCCAGCAAGAGAAAUAAAUCUCGCAGCCGCCACGGUGCGGCGGCGCAGACAGGAGCUGCUACUUGGCUGCUCGUCGUCAUCACUGUCAGGUUCCGACCUCCUGAUUGGCUCAAACAUGUAUGGUUUGACGAUGCCAAGUUCAAUCGGGUGCUCCUAUUAAUGCCAAGCUCACCCAAAUUAACCAACCCAGUGCCAACCAAGCCUCUUCUUCUGCCAUCUGCCCUUGCUCCCUGCAAACCAGUGCUCACCUCUUGCGGCCCACCGACAACCCAGACUCCUACCCUGCCAGACCGGCCCUCGUUGGAACCCUGCCAAUCCCGGAUUUAGUUCUCAGAGUUCCUUUGUUCAGUUCCAAGCUGCAAUAAACCUUUGUUCACAAACUCA